ACUGGUUUGGCCGAGUGGUUAAGGCGUUGGACUUAAGUUCCUAUGGACAAGUGUCCGCGUGGGUUCGAACCCCACACCCAGUA
rfam:Ciona savignyi cont_25768, whole genome shotgun sequence.